rnacentral:tRNA from 1 species
UGCGAGGUAGGAGAGUGGAACUCCGACGGGCUCAUACGAACAGAGAAGCGUCGCAACCCGUAGGUCCCAGGAUCGAAACCUGGCCUCGCAA